AUUCUACUCCCUCCGUUGCACAAUACAUGCCUUCUAUUUGUCAAAAUAUAUAUGUAUCUAGACAUGUCUUAGUAUAUAGGUACAUCCAUUUUUGGACAAAUGGAAGAAAGUAUUUUGGAACGGAGGGAGUACACA
rfam:Triticum aestivum genome assembly, contig: Triticum_aestivum_CS42_TGACv1_scaffold_557457_7AL